GACGAACGCUGGCGGCGUGCCUAAUACAUGCAAGUAGAACGCUGAAGGAGGAGCUUGCUCUUCUGGAUGAGUUGCGAACGGGUGAGUAACGCGUAGGUAACCUGCCUGGUAGCGGGGGAUAACUAUUGGAAACGAUAGCUAAUACCGCAUAACAGUAGAUGUUGCAUGACAUUUGCUUAAAAGGUGCAAUUGCACCACUACCAGAUGGACCUGCGUUGUAUUAGCUAGUUGGUGGGGUAACGGCUCACCAAGGCGACGAUACAUAGCCGACCUGAGAGGGGGAGCGGCCACACUGGGACUGAGACACGGCCCAGACUCCUACGGGAGGCAGCAGUAGGGAAUCUUCGGCAAUGGACGGAAGUCUGACCGAGCAACGCCGCGUGAGUGAAGAAGGUUUCCGGAUCGUAAAGCUCUGUUGUAAGGGAAGAACGAGUGUGAGAGUGGAAAGUUCACACUGUGACGGUAUCUUACCAGAAAGGGACGGCUAACUACGUG
rnacentral:rRNA from 1 species